rnacentral:lncRNA from 1 species
UACGCGCACAGAAUGGAAAGGACCAUACGAUGGAUGAAAAGGACCAUACCAGGAACAGGACAUGGACGAAGACGACGUUGGUCAAUCCGUCCGUGGGAACUCAAGAGAGAGACUUUUCGCUGCGAUGCGACGAGCCGAUCGAUAUCGUCGAUCCCGCCUGCUGCCUUUAUUGUGACGGCGCAAGAUUUUGACGAUCAACGGAUGGAGCCAUUGGUGCAAGGACACGACCGACAGAAAAAAGGCAAAAAGCAGCAUAUAAUUUCCUUUUCAAUCAGUAAAAAAGAAUGCAAGUUGGCCUUGUUAAUGAUUAACUCUAACCGUUAACAACCCACUAGCUAGUAAGUAGUAAGUGCAUAACGACUCGGUAACAUGUUCGACAUUCAUACGUACUCCCUCC